CCAUGCCGUCAAUGAAAUCGCUCUGAGCCUUAACAACAAAAACCCCAGAACCAAAGCCCUGGUUUUGGAGCUGUUGGCCGCGGUGUGUUUGGUCAGAGGAGGACACGAGAUCAUCCUAGCCGCUUUCGACCAUUUCAAAGAGGUCUGCCCAGAAUCCUAAAAGGUUUGAGAAAU